rnacentral:rRNA from 1 species
UACGAAGGGGGCUAGCGUUGCUCGGAAUCACUGGGCGUAAAGCGUGCGUAGGUGGUUGUUUAAGUCUGUUGUGAAAGCCCUGGGCUCAACCUGGGAAUUGCAGUGGAUACUGGGCGACUAGAGUGUGGUAGAGGGUAGUGGAAUUCCCGGUGUAGCGGUGGAAUGCGUAGAGAUCGGGAAGAACAUCGGUGGCGAAGGCGGCCUGCUGGGCUGUUGCUGACGUGAGGCGCGACAGCGUGGGGAGCAAACAGG